rnacentral:tRNA from 1 species
GGGCGGCUAGCUCAGUCGGCUAGAGCGUCUCGCUUACACCGAGAAGGUCAGGGGUUCGAGUCCCUUGCCGCCCA